rnacentral:rRNA from 1 species
GAUGAACGCUGGCGGCGUGCCUAAUACAUGCAAGUCGAGCGAACAGACGAGGAGCUUGCUCCUCUGACGUUAGCGGCGGACGGGUGAGUAACACGUGGAUAACCUACCUAUAAGACUGGGAUAACUUCGGGAAACCGGAGCUAAUACCGGAUAAUAUAUUGAACCGCAUGGUUCAAUAGUGAAAGACGGUUUUGCUGUCACUUAUAGAUGGAUCCGCGCCGCAUUAGCUAGUUGGUAAGGUAACGUCUUACCAAGGCAACGAUGCGUAGCCGACCUGAGAGGGUGAUCGGCCACACUGGAACUGAGACACGGUCCAGACUCCUACGGGAGGCAGCAGUAGGGAAUCUUCCGCAAUGGGCGAAAGCCUGACGGAGCAACGCCGCGUGAGUGAUGAAGGUCUUCGGAUCGUAAAACUCUGAUAUUAGGGAAGAACAAAUGUGUAAGUAACUAUGCACGUCUUGACGGUACCUAAUCAGAAAGCCACGGCUAACUACGUG